rnacentral:rRNA from 1 species
UUUUCUUUAGGGAGGAAAGGCAUUACAAAGAUUCCCCUAGUAAAGGCGAUUGAAGCGGGAAAAGCUCAGCAUGUGAAUUGGUGUUUGCACCAAGUUGUGGUCUGUGGACUCUUGCAUUAUGACUGGAUGAAGUCCCUUGGAACAGGGCGGCGAAGAGGGUGAUACCCCCGUGAAUCCAGUCUCUCAAUUGUCAUAGAGUCGAGUUGUUUGGGAUUGCAGCUCUAAUCUGGUGGUAAAUUCCAUCUAAAGCUAAAUACUGAUGGGAAGCCGAUAGCGAACAAGUACCGUGAGGGAAAGAUGCAAAGAACUUUGAAAAGAGAGUUAAAGAGUACCUGAAAUUGCUGAAAAGGAAGCGAAGGAAAUCAGUGAUUACCUAGUCAUAUUUUCCUAUCUGCUUGCGGGUAGGACGCUGUGGGUAUGGUUUCGAUUGGUUUGGUCAGAUCAAAGAUAGCCUCGGGCUCGAGCCGAAAUGGUUUUCUUCUUCCCG